AUGUGAGCUGGAACCGGAAUGGCAGUCUGAUCUGCACAGCUUCCAAAGACAAGAAAGUGAGAGUCAUUGAUCCCAGGAAACAAGAGAUUGUUGCUGAGAAGGAGAAAGCACAUGAAGGAGCAAGACCCAUGAGAGCCAUCUUCCUGGCCGAUGGCAAUGUCUUCACCACUGGGUUCAGCCGCAUGAGCGAGCGGCAGCUGGCUCUCUGGAAUCCGAAAAAUAUGCAGGAACCAAUUGCACUUCAUGAGAUGGACACUAGCAAUGGGGUGUUGCUGCCUUUCUAUGACCCUGACACCAGCAUCAUUUACUUAUGUGGAAAGACAAGAUUGCCGUCAUUGUUCAGGGUGACAGCAGUAUUCGCUAUUUUGAGAUCACGGAUGAAUCCCCGUACGUCCACUACCUCAACACGUUCAGCAGCAAGGAGCCUCAGAGAGGGAUGGGUUACAUGCCCAAGAGGGGACUUGAUGUUAACAAAUGUGAGAUUGCCAGAUUCUUCAAACUUCAUGAGAGAAAGUGUGAACCUAUUAUUAUGACUGUUCCCAGGAAG
rnacentral:sRNA from 1 species